rnacentral:rRNA from 1 species
CCUACGGGGUGCAGCAGUGGGGAAUAUUGCACAAUGGGCGAAACCCUGAUGCAGCGACGCCGCGUGAGCGAUGAAGUAUUUCGGUAUGUAAAGCCUUAUCAGCAGGGAAGAAGAUGACGGUACCUGACUAAGAAGCCCCGGCUAACUACGUGCCAGCAGCCGCGGUAAUACGUAGGGGGCAAGCGUUAUCCGGAUUUACUGGGUUUAAAGGGAGCGUAGGCGGCGAUGCAAGCCAGAUGUGAAAGCCCGGGGCUCAACCCCGGGACUGCAUUGGGAACUGUGUGGCUGGAGUGUGGGAGAGGCAGGCGGAAUGCCUGGUGUAGCGGUGAAAUGCGUAGAUAUUAGGAGGAACACCGGUGGCGAAGGCGGCCUACUGGACGAUAACUGACGUUGAGGCUCGAAAGCGUGGGGAGCAAACAGGAUUAGAUACCCGUGUAGUC